AACGAACGCUGGCGGCAUGCCUAACACAUGCAAGUCGAACGAGACCUUCGGGCCUAGUGGCGCACGGGUGCGUAACGCGUGGGAACCUGCCCUUAGGUUCGGAAUAACUCCCCGAAAGGGGUGCUAAUACCGGAUAAUGUCUUCGGACCAAAGAUUUAUCGCCUUUGGAUGGGCCCGCGUUGGAUUAGCUAGUUGGUAGGGUAAAAGCCUAUCAAGGCGACGAUCCAUAGCUGGUCUGAGAGGAUGAUCAGCCACACUGGAGCUGAGACACGGCCCAGACUCCUACGGAAGGCAGCAGAGGGUAAUAUAGGACGAUGGGCGAAGGCCUGAUCCAGCAAUGCCGCGUAAGUGAUGAAGGCCUUAGGGUUGUAAAGCUCUUUUACACGGGAUGAUAAUGACGGUACCGGGAGAAUAAGCACCGGCUAACUCCGUG
rnacentral:rRNA from 1 species